GAUGAACGCUCGCUACAGGCUUAACACAUGCAAGUCGCGGGGCAGCAUGGGGGUUGCUUGCAAUCCCCGAUGGCGACCGGCGCACGGGUGAGUAACGCGUAUCCAACCUGCCCUUCACCACGGGAUAACCCGGCGAAAGUCGGACUAAUACCGUAUGUUGUCCAUUGACGGCAUCCGAUUUGGACGAAAGGUUUGGCGGGGAAGGAUGGGGAUGCGUCCGAUUAGCUGGACGGCGGGGUGACGGCCCACCGUGGCGACGAUCGGUAGGGGUUCUGAGAGGAAGGUCCCCCACACUGGAACUGAGACACGGUCCAGACUCCUACGGGAGGCAGCAGUGAGGAAUAUUGGUCAAUGGGCGUAAGCCUGAACCAGCCAAGUAGCGUGCAGGAUGACGGCCCUAUGGGUUGUAAACUGCUUUUAUGCGGGGAUAAAGUGGCCCACGUGUGGGUUUUUGCAGGUACCGCAUGAAUAAGGACCGGCUAAUUCCGUG
rnacentral:rRNA from 1 species